rfam:Oryza rufipogon genomic scaffold, chr11
AAAAACUCAAUUACUGAGUUUUCGUGUCUAACAUUUGACCGUCCGUCUUAUUUGAAAAAAAUAUGAAAAAAUUUAAAAAGAUAAGUCAUGUAUAAAGUAUUAUUCAUAUUUUAUCAUCUAUCAAUAAUGAAAAUACUAAUCAUAAAAUAAUUUUAUAUAAAACAGACGGUUAAACGUUGGACACGGAAAACCAAGAAUUGAGUUUUU